rnacentral:rRNA from 1 species
CCUACGGGAGGCAGCAGUGAGGAAUAUUGGUCAAUGGGCGGGAGCCUGAACCAGCCAAGUCGCGUGAGGGAAGACGGUCCUAUGGAUUGUAAACCUCUUUAGGCUGGGCGCAAUGCCGGUCACGCGUGCCCGGAGGGAGAGUACCCGCAGAAUAAGCAUCGGCUAACUCCGUCCCAGCAGCCGCGGUAAUACGGAGGAUGCGCGCGUUAUCCGGAUUUAUUGGUUUAAAAGGGUGCGUAGGCGGAUGUUUAAGUCAGCGGUAAAUUGUCGGGGCUCAACCCGGGCCGGCCGUUGAAACUGGGGAUCUUGAGUGGGCGAGAAGUAUGCGGAAUGCGUGGGGUAGCGGUGAAAUGCAUAGAUAUCACGCAGAACUCCGAUUGCGAAGGCAGCAUACCGGCGCCCGACUGACGCUGAGGCACGAAAGCGUGGGGAUCGAACAGGAUUAGAUACCCGUGUAGUC